GCAGAACGCGAAGAACCUUACCAGGGCUUGACAUAUACCGGAAACACCCAGAGAUGGGUGCCCCGCAAGGUCGGUAUACAGGUGGUGCAUGGUUGUCGUCAGCUCGUGUCGUGAGAUGUUGGGUUAAGUCCCGCAACGAGCGCAACCCUCGUUCUAUGUUGCCAGCACGUUAUGGUGGGGACUCAUAGAAGACUGCCGGGGUCAACUCGGAGGAAGGUGGGGAUGACGUCAAAUCAUCAUGCCCCUUAUGUCCUGGGCUUCACGCAUGCUACAAUGGCCAGUACAAGGGCUGCGAUACCGCGAGGUGGAGCGAAUCCCAAAAAACUGGUCUCAGUUCGGAUUGGGGUCUGCAACUCGACCCCAUGAAGUCGGAUCGCUAGUAAUCGCAGAUCAGCAACGUUGCGGUGAAUACGUUCCCCGGGUCUUGUACACACCG
rnacentral:rRNA from 1 species